rnacentral:misc_RNA from 1 species
UAGAGUGCUAAACUCCAAACCUUUGUGAACAUAUACGUGUUGCUUCGGCGGGUUGGGGGCCCAGCGCCCACCGUCGCCCGCCGGGGACCCAAACUCUUGCCUUCUAGCGGAAUCUUCUGAGUGAAAGCAAAUAUAUCA